UACGUAGGGUCCGAGCGUUGUCCGGAAUUACUGGGCGUAAAGAGCUCGUAGGUGGUUUGUCGCGUUGUUCGUGAAAACUCACAGCUCAACUGUGGGCGUGCGGGCGAUACGGGCAGACUUGAGUACUGCAGGGGAGACUGGAAUUCCUGGUGUAGCGGUGGAAUGCGCAGAUAUCAGGAGGAACACCUAUGGCGAAGGCAGCUCUCUGGGACGGUACUGACGCUGAGACGCGAAAGCGUGGGGAGCGAACAGG
rnacentral:rRNA from 1 species